GAAAUGCGAUAAGUAGUGUGAAUUGCAGAAUUCAGUGAAUCAUCGAAUCUUUGAACGCACAUUGCGCCCCUUGGUAUUCCAUGGGGCAUGCCUGUUCGAGCGUCAUUUGUACCUUCAAGCUUUGCUUGGUGUUGGGUGUUUGUCUCGCCUCUGCGCGCAGACUCGCCUCAAAACAAUUGGCAGCCGGCGUAUUGAUUUCGGAGCGCAGUACAUCUCGCGCUUUGCACUCAUAACGACGACGUCCAAAAAGUACAUUUUUUACGCUCUUGACCUCGGAUCAGGUAGGGAUACCCGCUGAACUUAAGCAUAUCAAUAAGCGGAG
rnacentral:misc_RNA from 1 species